AUGAACGCUAGCGACAGGCUUAACACAUGCAAGUCGAGGGGCAGCACAGGUAGCAAUACCGGGUGGCGACCGGCGCACGGGUGAGUAACGCGUAUGCAACUUACCUAUCAGAGGGGGAUAACCCGGCGAAAGUCGGACUAAUACCGCAUGAAGCAGGGGCCCCGCAUGGGGAUAUUUGCUAAAGAUUCAUCGCUGAUAGAUAGGCAUGCGUUCCAUUAGGCAGUUGGCGGGGUAACGGCCCACCAAACCGACGAUGGAUAGGGGUUCUGAGAGGAAGGUCCCCCACAUUGGUACUGAGACACGGACCAAACUCCUACGGGAGGCAGCAGUGAGGAAUAUUGGUCAAUGGGCGCGAGCCUGAACCAGCCAAGUCGCGUGAGGGAUGAAGGUUCUAUGGAUCGUAAACCUCUUUUAUAAGGGAAUAAAGUGCGGGACGUGUCCCGUUUUGUAUGUACCUUAUGAAUAAGGAUCGGCUAACUCCGUGCCAGCAGCCGCGGUAAUACGGAGGAUCCGAGCGUUAUCCGGAUUUAUUGGGUUUAAAGGGUGCGUAGGCGGCCUUUUAAGUCAGCGGUGAAAGUCUGUGGCUCAACCAUAGAAUUGCCGUUGAAACUGGGGGGCUUGAGUAUGUUUGAGGCAGGCGGAAUGCGUGGUGUAGCGGUGAAAUGCUUAGAUAUCACGCAGAACCCCGAUUGCGAAGGCAGCCUGCCAAGCCAUGACUGACGCUGAUGCACGAAAGCGUGGGGAUCAAACAGGAUUAGAUACCCUGGUAGUCCACGCAGUAAACGAUGAUCACUAGCUGUUUGCGAUACAGUGUAAGCGGCACAGCGAAAGCGUUAAGUGAUCCACCUGGGGAGUACGCCGGCAACGGUGAAACUCAAAGGAAUUGACGGGGGCCCGCACAAGCGGAGGAACAUGUGGUUUAAUUCGAUGAUACGCGAGGAACCUUACCCGGGUUUGAACGCAUUCGGACCGAGGUGGAAACACCUUUUCUAGCAAUAGCCGUUUGCGAGGUGCUGCAUGGUUGUCGUCAGCUCGUGCCGUGAGGUGUCGGCUUAAGUGCCAUAACGAGCGCAACCCUUGCCACUAGUUACUAACAGGUAAAGCUGAGGACUCUGGUGGGACUGCCAGCGUAAGCUGCGAGGAAGGCGGGGAUGACGUCAAAUCAGCACGGCCCUUACAUCCGGGGCGACACACGUGUUACAAUGGCGUGGACAAAGGGAAGCCACCUGGCGACAGGGAGCGAAUCCCCAAACCACGUCUCAGUUCGGAUCGGAGUCUGCAACCCGACUCCGUGAAGCUGGAUUCGCUAGUAAUCGCGCAUCAGCCAUGGCGCGGUGAAUACGUUCUCGGGCCUUGUACACACCGCCCGUCAAGCCAUGGGAGCCGGGGGUACCUGAAGUCCGUAACCGCGAGGAUCGGCCUAGGGUAAAACUGGUGACUGGGGCU
rnacentral:rRNA from 1 species